GACGAACGCUGGCGGCGUGCUUAACACAUGCAAGUCACGGGGGCCCGCAAGGGUAACCGGCGAACGGGUGCGUAACACGUGAACAAUCUGCCUAGAUGUGGGGGAUAGCCGGCCCAACGGCCGGGUAAUACCGCAUACGCUCUUCGGGUGGCAUCACUUGAAGAGGAAACCUCCGGGGGCAUCUAGAGGAGUUCGCGGCCUAUCAGCUAGUUGGUGGGGUAACGGCCUACCAAGGCAAUGACGGGUAGCUGGUCUGAGAGGAUGGCCAGCCACAUUGGGACUGAGAUACGGCCCAGACUCCUACGGGAGGCAGCAGUGGGGAAGUAUUGCGCAAUGGCCGAAAGGCUGACGCAGCGACGCCGCGUGGGGGAUGAAGCAUUUCGGUGUGUAAACCCCUGUUGCUCGGGACGAACAACUGGAUUUGUCCAGUCUGACGGUACCGGGUGAGGAAGCACCGGCUAACUCCGUGCCAGCAGCCGCGGUAAU
rnacentral:rRNA from 1 species